GGGGAUCUCAAAGGAACUCAUACAUCCGAAUUUCGCCCUGCUGACGAGCGCCGGGGGCCGACUCGUCCUUCGCGAUCUCCGUCUGCGAUUUGGGCUCCGCCCUGUUCAUUGUAACGAGGACAUGGUGACCGCACCCAGGGCACUGCAUUUCCGUCGUAGGAGAUGUAGCGACAGGGGAGCUGCUGCCGUCGGACUUUUUCUUGGGCGCGGGCGCCGCCGCGGCCCCUCCGGCGAUCACGUCGCUCGCCUUCGCUUCGCUGGGUUCGACGUCGUCGGAUUUCCUCUUGCGUCCAGAUGCCGCCGGUGGCGCCGCAUUGGAGCCGUCGUCGUUUUCGUCCAACGUUGCGUCGUUAGAUUCGUCGUCGUCGUUUUCGUCCAACGUUGCGUCGUUAGAUUCGUCGUCGUCGGCCUCGAUCUUGUGCCCGGGCGAGGCCGCCGCCGCGGCCUUGUUGCCGCUUGGCUCGGGCUUGCGCGGGCUGCGGUACACCUUGCACAGGACACGAUAUACGAGGAAGCCCUCCUCCUCCUGCUGUUUCUCCUCACCGUCGUCGUUGAGGAGGCGGUGCUCCAUCAUGAUCCAACCCGUGCGGAACAGCGCGCCGGUUUCAUUCCUGACGACGAAGGAGAAGGUCUGGCGGAGUCCAAUCUGGUGCCAGUUCGACUUGGACGCCAUGAACACGGGCUUCGGUUUGGCUUCGCUAUGCCAGGUCCCGGACCCGGUGGAUCGCUUCUUCCGCUUCCCGCUGCUGUGCUUGUAGCGCAGCAGGCUGUAGAAGUACCACGCCCGCUCACCGUUGUGGGCCACCACCGGCGCGAACUGCUGGAGGAGGUCGGCGGGGUCGGAACCGUACACGUCGGCAUCGUGGAUGAACGCGCCGGUCUUGACGCCGUCCUCGACCCAGGUACGGAGGUAGGAGUCGACGAGCUCCGUAUGGCUAGGGUGAGAUUGGAAGAACGGACGCGGCGGCUUGAUGGCCGCCAACGGAGAGUGUGUCAUGGCGAGGGUGCGGCGGGGUUGGAGAGGGAGGGGGGAGG
rnacentral:misc_RNA from 1 species